GCCCUCCGAGGGCCUCCGCAGCCCUUUGGUGGCCAUCGUUGAUAUCUCCACCGACCUCUCUUUCCUUCCUUCCCCCCUCUCUCUUCCCUUUCCUUUUCCUCCCUGGUUCAUCCCUCCUUUCCAUGUUAGUUCGGGCCCAGUACAAUUCGGUAUAGAGAUGUACCGCCGAUCGGCAUGCACCGGGCUGGUUUUGUGUUAGCGAUCCUUGGUUAAUAUAUUAUGAAUUGUAGUAAUUUUAAUAGUUAUAAAUACUUAAAAUAGCUAUUUAAAGUAUGUUCUAAACUUUUUUGGUGAGAAACCUUCAAGACCUCCAGACCAUGGUGCUCCAAGUAUCUGAUUCUAAAAAUUAUGCAUAUGAUAUUCUUUUCGUUGUAGUCCCUAUAUUAAGAGUA
rnacentral:lncRNA from 1 species